UCAGCUAUAGAUUGACCGUACCGCAAACCGACACUGGUGCGCGAGAUGAGUAUUCUAAGGCGCUUGAGAGAACUCUGGAGAAGGAACUCGGCAAAUUGACACCGUAACUUCGGAAGAAGGUGUGCCUUUAGUAGGUGAACCAUUUACUUGGGGAGCCCAAUGAGGUUGCAAAGAAUCGGUGGCUGCAACUGUUUAAUAAAAACACAGCACUCUGCAAAGACGAAAGUCGACGUAUGGGGUGUGACGCCUGCCCGGUGCUGGAAGAUUAAUUGAUGGGGUGCAAGCUCUUGAUCGAAGUCCCAGUAAACGGCGGCCGUAACUAUAACGGUCCUAAGGUAGCGAAAUUCCUUGUCGGGUAAGUUCCGACCUGCACGAAUGGCGUAAUGAUGGCCACACUGUCUCCUCCAGAGACUCAGCGAAGUUGAAAUGUUUGUGAUGAUGCAAUCUCCCCGCGGAAAGACGGAAAGACCCCAUGAACCUUUACUGUAGCUUUACAUUGGACUUUGAACAGAUCUGUGUAGGAUAGGUGGGAGGCUUUGAAGCGGCGGCGCUAGCUGUCGUGGAGCCAACGUUGAAAUACCACCCUGGUGUGUUUGAGGUUCUAACCUUGUCCCGUUAUCCGGGAUGGGGACAGUGUAUGGUGGGCAGUUUGACUGGGGCGGUCUCCUCCCAAAGUGUAACGGAGGAGUUCGAAGGUACGCUAGAUACGGUCGGAAAUCGUGUUGAUAGUGCAUUGGCAUAAGCGUGCUUGACUGCGAGACUGACAAGUCGAGCAGGUACGAAAGUAGGACAAAGUGAUCCGGUGGUUCUGUAUGGAAGGGCCAUCGCUCAACGGAUAAAAGGUACUCUGGGGAUAACAGGCUGAUACCGCCCAAGAGUUCAUAUCGACGGCGGUGUUUGGCACCUCGAUGUCGGCUCAUCUCAUCCUGGGGCUGUAGCCGGUCCCAAGGGUAUGGCUGUUCGCCAUUUAAAGAGGUACGUGAGCUGGGUUUAAAACGUCGUGAGACAGUUUGGUCCCUAUCUUCCGUGGGCGCUGCAAGAUUGAGAGAGCCUGCUCCUAGUACGAGAGGACCGGAGUGGACGCACCUCUGGUGUAUCGGUUGUCACGCCAGUGGCAUUGCCGAGUAGCUAAGUGCGGAAGAGAUAACCACUGAAAGCAUCUAAGCGGGAAACUCGUCUCAAGAUGAGUCUUGCCGGGGCCUUGAGCCCCCUGAAGAGUCGUUCAAGACCAGGACGUUGAUAGGUUGGGUGUGG
rnacentral:rRNA from 1 species